GCUUGGGUGGCUCAGUCGGUUAAGCGUCUGACUUCGGCUCAGGUCAUGAUCUCACAGUCUGUGGGUUCGAGCCCCGUGUCGGGCU
rnacentral:tRNA from 1 species